GAUCCUGGCUCAGGAUGAACGCUAGCGACAGGCUUAACACAUGCAAGUCGAGGGGUAGCACAUGUAGCAAUACCGGGUGGCGACCGGCGCACGGGUGAGUAACGCGUAUGCAACUUGCCUAUCAGAGGGGGAUAACCCGGCGAAAGUCGGACUAAUACCGCAUGAAGCAGGGGCCCCGCAUGGGGAUAUUUGCUAAAGAUUCAUCGCUGAUAGAUAGGCAUGCGUUCCA
rnacentral:rRNA from 1 species